UACGUAGGGUGCGAGCGUUGUCCGGAAUUACUGGGCGUAAAGAGCUUGUAGGCGGUUUGUCGCGUCUUCUGUGAAAACUUGGGGCUCAACCUUAAGCUUGCAGGGGAUACGGGCAGACUAGAGUACUUCAGGGGAGACUGGAAUUCCUGGUGUAGCGGUGAAAUGCGCAGAUAUCAGGAGGAACACCGGUGGCGAAGGCGGGUCUCUGGGAAGUAACUGACGCUGAGAAGCGAAAGCAUGGGUAGCAAACAGG
rnacentral:rRNA from 1 species